GUGCUUGCUUUCACAGCACAUAUUCUAAAAUUGGAAUGAUACAGUGGAUCAGCACAAGCCCUGUAUAACCAUGACAGAUAAACUAGGGAAAUGUUCUGUGUUUUA
rfam:Neotoma lepida isolate 417 scaffold_6148, whole genome shotgun sequence.